UGUCUAUAUACAAACAUCAUUCUAUUUUUUCAAACAUCAGUUAUUUCUAUCUAUGUAGUAGCUUAGGAUAAACCAUAAUGUUUUAGAAUUGUUUUGGUGCAGAGUAGGAGCUCAAUACUAUUUGAAAGCAUAAAUAGAUGAAAAAUCCAAGAUCACUUAAUAUUUGUUUCUGCCAAGCUAUGUUCUGACAGUUCUAGCAUAAAUACCAGGGAAACAAUCCUUACUAGGCAGCAUUCGACAGCCCAUAAAAAUAUAAAUUAUCUUGAAAACUCUUAAACUCUAAAGACUGCCUUAGAAAACAAGUAUUAUGUAGGACUUCUUGCUUGGAACCAGGGUGAUAGCCUGUGCUUUAAGCAUGCUACCAGUGAAGAGAAAAUCUCAAAGACACAUAAUUCACUUAGACUUUUGGUCUUGAUAUCCUAACAUGUAAAGUGCAAGAGGUUAGAUUAGGUGAUCUUUAAGUUCACAGUUCUCUAGCAAUAAUUAUGCUACUAACUGGUGAUCAGGAUACAAAUAUGUUUUAUACAUAAUUUUACUUUACAGAGAUGUUAAGGGGCAAGUUUUAUAGGGCUUCGAAAAUAACAGCAGCAAAAUACAUGACUAUUCCUCUUCCAACUACUCUUGUCUCUACCCUGCCAAAACAACCUACUAAACUGACAAGAAGUGAAAUAAUACGAUGUAUCUUGUCUGACCCAUAAUUAAGGGAUCUUAAUUAUUACUCUAUGGGUUCCAUGGCUAUAUGCCACAGUAGGGCUUAUCUUAGCAGUCAGUAAAAUCUUAGCUUUCCAGCUGUGUGACCUUGAACAUGCCAUUUAACUUUGCUAUUUUCUCAUCUGCAAAAUAAAGCUGAUAAUAUGAACUAACUUACACAGCACUUUUAUGCCAGCCACUGUUCUGUGUGCUUUAUGUGAUACUCGCUUAAUAGUAUUAUUGUAAAAUUAAAUGAGACACCCCUCUUCCAAGAUACUUAGUACAUUGUAUCAGAGUAAGCAGUCAACAUAUCGCCUAUUUUUUCCUGAGUCUGAACUACAGAAACUCCAAAGUUUCUAACAUUUAAGAUCCUUUAAAAAAUAUUUUGUGAAUGGAAAGGUGGUAUUGCAUUGGAGGAAUAAUGAGCUUGGUGGCUAUUUAAAAUGCUGGUAUUUGAUCAUUACCAGAAUUAAAAUGAGUUAUCCUGAAGUCAGGAUGUCUGUUCCUCAGGAAUCACUAAGGGACUUAUAAAACAGACUUCAGACCUCAGUUUCCCACUUGGGAAACAGAACCCAUGACGCCUUGUUACUAACUGCAAAGUAAAGUUGGAUGCUUUAGUUAUUUGAAAUCUUAAUAAGUUGAGGUUACUGGAGGAAGUGUAUUUUUUUAAAGGCUGUUAGGAUGGUGAGAUAGGAGGAGAGGACCUAUGUCCUCUCUCUAUGAUUUGUUAGAGAAAAUGAUAUGACUUACUAAUUUUUUAAUCCUUACACAAGGAAAUACAUAGUAUAAAACAUGAUAGUUUGAAUUUUCAUUUCAAAUGAAAAAACUGUAGAAGAGGUGAAUGUGUAUCUCUGAACUGUACUGAUGUUAAAAUUCUCAUUUCUAAAAUCUGAUUUUAAGGUCAAAGUCAUUUCACUUCUGGCUAAGCAGGAAGAUUACAAUAAUUUAAUCAAUGCCACAAUUGCAAUUAUCUUUUCCUAUUAAGUAAGAGUUAACAUGUAAAUAGCAUUUACUAUGUGGGAGACAUAACUCUAUUCAUUAAAUAUUACUAACAGCCCCAUUUUACAGAUGAGGAAAAGGUGCACAGGUUAAGUAGCCUGUCGACAUUACAGAAAUGGGAGAGGUACAGUGACAAGAGUUAAGGGACAAGGAAAUACUUCCAACCUCCUUUUCCUCCAAUCUUAUUACCACUACAGAAUGAUUUCAUAACUGUUGGUUGUAGAAAUCUCUAAUUAUGUAUAGCCAUUUACUGGUGUCUGUUGAGGAUGGGAAGAAAAAGGGUCAUGUUGGUAUUACAUUUGUACUUAAAAGAAUGAUAAUAAUUGAAAGGAGGAUUGCAAUGGUGAUAAUUAUGAUCUUUUUGAAGUAUUUCUACCAAAUCCUCCUAGGAAUCUUUCUUGUUUUUUGGAAUUCUUUGGCCUGAAAUAAAAAUAAAUACAAAUGUCAUGUUUUACUUCCAUUUCUGGAUUAAUGUGCACACUCUAAUACUUCUCAGAGCUAUCUGAAAGAACAGAUGUAGCUUUAUUUUGACGAAUCCUAAAACCUCUUAAUAGGAUUCAACAGAUUUUUAUAAAGUGAUGCAUCAAGGUUCCAGGCAGCUGCCUUGUUGUGUUCAGCUGUAAUUUUAUUAGCCUUAUUAGCUCUGUGACCUUGAACAAGUUAUAAUUCUUUUAGCCUCAAUUUCCUCAUCUUCCUGUAUGAUUUUACUUAAAUGCUAUCAUCUCUUACAAUAAUUGCUACCUCCAUUUCUAUUCUGAAAACCCUAUUCUCCUUCAAUACUUAGUUCUUCUCCACAGUACUUACCUCUUAACUAACAUUAGGUAAAUUUUAUUUAUUGUUUGUCUAGAAUAUAAGCUCCAUGGAGGCAAGGAUUCUUGUGUUUCAUUUACUGCUGUAGUCCCAGCAUGGAACAGUGCAUGACGGACAGCAGAUGUUCAAUAAGUGUUUGUUGAAUGAAUGAAUACAUAAAUCUAUAAAAUUGUGAUAAUAGUGAGAGGUGAAGCCAGCUGGACUUCCUGGGUUGAGUGGGGACUUGGAGAACUUUUCUGUCUAGCUAAAGGAUUGUAAAUGCACCUAUCAGCACUCUGUGUCUAGCUAAAGGAUUGUAAAUGCACCAAUCAGCACUCUGUAAAAAUGCACCAAUCAGCGCUCUCUGUCUAGCUAAAGGUUUGUAAAUGCACCAAUCAGCACUCUGUAAAAUGGAUCAAUCAGCGCUCUGUAAAAUGGACCAAUCAGCAGGACAUGGGCAGGGGCAAAUAAAGGAAUAAAAGCUGGCCACUCCAGCCAGCAGCAGCAACCCUCUUGGGUCCCCUCCCAUGCUGUAGAAGCUUUGUUCUUUCACUUUUCACAAUAAAUCUUGCUGCUGCUCACUCUUUGGGUCUGCACUACCUUUAUGAGCUCCAGCAUUCACCUCGAGGGUCUGAGGCUUCAUUCCUGAAGUGAGACCAAGAACCCACCGG
rnacentral:lncRNA from 10 species